UGCUCUUGUUGAGAAAUGAUGAUGCUGAAGUUGAUGAAAGGAACAAAUUUUAUGUGCUCUUGUUGAGAUGGGUACAUUUUUAUCAUUAUUGUUCACCAACUCCAGCCUGCCGUUGUCGUUGAGUCGCUGCUUUCACUUGGGAUCCAAGUCUGCUGUCAUCACCAUCACCAAUUCACCUUCCUUUUUGCGCUUCUCUAAGCGCCCCUGACCAUGAACCUCUCCCUUAAACCCUUUAUUGGAUCUCCCUCGCAGAUCCUUCUUCAAUUUCUCUACUAUCGUUUUAUCUCCCUCCUCCUCUCCCUUUCCCAUGGACCCUACCUCUCGCCCUGCUGUUGUCAUCGACAACGGAACCGGGUAUACUAAGAUGGGUUUUGCUGGAAAUGUAGAGCCGUGUUUUAUUUUGCCAACUGUAGUAGCUGUAAACGAUUCGUUUCUAAAUCAAUCCAGAACUUCAAAAGCGAAUUGGCUUGCGCAGCAUAGCGCGGGGGUCAUGGC
rnacentral:misc_RNA from 1 species